AGCUUUGUGCAGUGGCAGUAUCAUAGUCAAUGAGGUUUAUCCGAGGCACGAUAUUGCUAAUUAAAAUCUGUAUGGAACCAGAAAAGAUUCUGAAUAACUAAAGCAAUGUUGGAAAAGAAAAGAAAAGCAGGAGGCAUCACAAUUCU